CCGUGGGAUGCUCCAACGGCGGAGCAGCCGGCUGUAACCCGGCCGCGUUCUCACGCACGGCAGGUUCGAUCCCUGCCCCACGGA
rnacentral:tRNA from 1 species